GAGGAAGGCGGGGAGGCCCGCUGGUGCUGCUGCUGCCCCCACCAGGGGCCCGUCCCUCCGUCCCUCUGGGACUCUCUGCUCCUCCUGGUGAGCUCCGCCACCACCUCCUCCCCCGCCCCUACCCCACCGCCGCCUCCCAAAACCGCCUCACGCUCAAGGCCCCCCCCUUGACACCGGGUGGCCCGGCUCCACACCCGUUCCCCUUCCCGCGAUCCGGACACGGGGACCCUGAUGUCCCCCGCCUCCGUCCGCACCAGCAGUGGCGGCAGCCCUCCAGGUUCCCGUGCGGGUCGUAGGCGGGGCUGCAGGGGGCUGGCGGCCAAAGGCCCCACGGAUCCUGCUCUAGCUCCCGGGAGAAGGGGCACGCGGCCACGGGCCCGGCGCCCCCUGGCCCGGCCCGGGUGGCUGCGUCACCCCGCUCCAGUCCGGCCCAGACGUGGCUUGGGGCUUCCCGGGCCCGACCGGCCAGGCCCCCAGGCCCCCGGACCUGGGACCUCCCUCGCGCUCCAUCCCGUCCGUCCGUCCGUCCGUCCGUCCCCGGACUCCCUCCACGUCACUCCCGGGGCCCCUCCACGCGGGACAGAGAGCAUGGCGCCGGGCUCCCGGAUCCCCCCCCCUCCGAGGACUUUCCGCUUGAUGGCAGUAUUGCACCGCGAAUGCCAGCCCGCCCUUCCCCCAGGGCCUCUCCCUCCGCCCUCUGCCAGAAGAAAAAAAGGCCACGCCAGAGGACUCGGGAGCCAAGCCCGUGUCCGUGUCCGCUGUCCCUCGCCCCAACAUGGCGGGCGGGCGGCUCUCCUGUCAAGGGCCGGGGUGAGGGUGGAGGGGUGGCGGGUGGCGGGUUCGGCCGCGGGCCAACGGGCCCGCGCGGGCGAGCGAGCCAGCGAGCAAGCAAGCAAGCAAGCAAGCACCCCGGCUUCUGAGGCUCCCGGGAGCGGAGCCCCGUCCCCUGGGCUGGGGGGCCCAGCUCCGUUUGCCCCCGUGGGCCAAUAGUCAGGCACGCAUCUGCCAGUCCAGUGCCCCGAAGGAGGCUCCCGCUCUGGAUCACGCGGACCGACCUCCGUGGAGGCCCCGGCUGUCCCGGUAGCCCACACACGGGUGGAAGAAGGUCCGGGAUGGGUCGUGCCUUCCCGUCCACACGCGUCCACGAGCAGGCCCCGAGCGUCCGCGGGUGUCUCCCCGCGCCGCCGUCGCCGCCGCCGCCGCCGCCGCGUGCCAGAGGCAGCGUGUUGCCCCUUCUCCUCACACCAGUCAGCUUCCCGGAAGGCCCCUUAGUUAGUGGGGGGCGGGGGUGGCACGAGGGGCCGUGCACGCUGUCCCCUUCCUUGGUCAAACCUGGCCCCGGGGCACCGAGGAGGCGGCCUGCAUCUCCUGACCCCGGUCUCCCUCCGAGCUCCCCCCACCACCACCCCCCGCCGACGCCUGAGAUCCAGGCGGUGUCCACGCGCCCUUUGGGUCCCGGCGCCCACAGCGGCACCCGCGGAGCUCGGGCACCUGCCCAGGGGCGAGGAACCGGGUCUCCCUGGCCCCGAGCCCGAGACCGAGGAGCAGGGAGGACUUCGCUGGCCUACUCUUGCUUGACAAGCCGGGUGGGCAAGGUGGGCGGCGUUGCGCUGACUCUGCGGGAUGAGAGGUCCUGCAGGGCCGAGCGGUCCCCGGGCAGGGUACCCCCGCAGCCUCUGUCACCGGUCCCGCCCUGGGGUGCCGUGCGGCCCGUGCCCGGACUCUGAUUGGCGAGCCGGGCGCGACGCCCAGCCCGACGCCGCCGAGCUAGGGGACGCCCGCGUGACCCUCCCUUGGCGCGGCCCCGUGUCCCCGCCAUCGACCGUCGGGGCGGUAGACUCGUGUGGGAGCCGGACCCUUCCUUGCCCGGGCGGCGCGUGCCCCCUUCGGGGUCCUCGGUGGCUCCCGCCUGCUUGUGGAGGGUGUUCGGACCUGGGCUUCGUGGUCAGAAGGGAAGCCCCAGGGAGGCCGGUAGGCCUCGGGGAACGGA
rnacentral:lncRNA from 1 species